GAAAAGAAACCAACAGGGAUUGCCUCAGUAACGGCGAGUGAAGCGGCAAGAGCUCAAAUUUGAAAUCUGGCUCCCUCGGAGUCCGAGUUGUAAUUUGAAGAGGAGUCUUCGGUUCGGACCUCGAUCUAUGUUCCUUGGAACAGGACGUCGUAGAGGGUGAGAAUCCCGUACACGGUUGAUGGUCUCGUCCCAUGUGAAGUUCCCUCGAAGAGUCGAGUUGUUUGGGAAUGCAGCUCUAAAAGGGUGGUAAAUGUCAUCUAAAGCUAAAUACCGGCGAGAGACCGAUAGCGCACAAGUAGAGUGAUCGAAAGAUGAAAAGCACUUUGAAAAGAGAGUUAAAAAGUACGUGAAAUUGUUGAAAGGGAAGCGCUUGCAAUCAGACUUGCUCUGGGCCGAUCAACGUACCUUCUGGUGCGUGCACUCGGCCCUCCGCAGGCCAGCAUCGGUUCGGACGGCGGGACAAAGACCGCGGGAACGUGGCUCCCUUCGGGGAGUGUUAUAGCCCUCGGUGCAAUGCCGCCUGCCCGGACCGUGGACCGCGCUUCGGCUAGGAUGCUGGCGUAAUGGUUGUAAGCGACCCGU
rnacentral:rRNA from 1 species